GAUGAACGCUGGCGGCGUGCCUAAUACAUGCAAGUCGAGCGAACAGACGAGGAGCUUGCUCCUUCGACGUUAGCGGCGGACGGGUGAGUAACACGUAGGUAACCUACCUAUAAGACUGGGAUAACUUCGGGAAACCGGAGCUAAUACCGGAUAAUAUUUCGAACCGCAUGGUUCGAUAGUGAAAGAUGGCUUUGCUAUCACUUAUAGAUGGACCUGCGCCGUAUUAGCUAGUUGGUAAGGUAACGGCUUACCAAGGCAACGAUACGUAGCCGACCUGAGAGGGUGAUCGGCCACACUGGAACUGAGACACGGUCCAGACUCCUACGGGAGGCAGCAGUAGGGAAUCUUCCGCAAUGGGCGAAAGCCUGACGGAGCAACGCCGCGUGAGUGAUGAAGGUCUUCGGAUCGUAAAACUCUGUUAUUAGGGAAGAACAAACGUGUAAGUAACUGUGCACGUCUUGACGUUACCUAAUCAGAAAGCCACGGCUAACUACGUG
rnacentral:rRNA from 1 species